AUUGAACGCUGGCGGCAUGCUUUACACAUGCAAGUCGAACGGCAGCGCGGGCUUCGGCCUGGCGGCGAGUGGCGAACGGGUGAGUAAUACAUCGGAACGUGCCCAGUAGUGGGGGAUAGCUCGGCGAAAGCCGGAUUAAUACCGCAUACGACCUGAGGGUGAAAGCGGGGGAUCUUCGGACCUCGCGCUAUUGGAGCGGCCGAUGGCAGAUUAGCUAGUUGGUGGGGUAAAGGCCUACCAAGGUGACGAUCUGUAGCUGGUCUGAGAGGACGACCAGCCACACUGGGACUGAGACACGGCCCAGACUCCUACGGGAGGCAGCAGUGGGGAAUUUUGGACAAUGGGCGAAAGCCUGAUCCAGCAAUGCCGCGUGUGAUGAAGGCCUUCGGGUUGUAAAGCACUUUUGGCGGGAACGAAAAGGACUGUGCCAAUACCACGGUUCGAUGACGGUACCCGCAGAAUAAGCACCGGCUAACUACGUG
rnacentral:rRNA from 1 species